rnacentral:antisense_RNA from 1 species
CUUCAACGAUCCCAGCCAUAGUGGCUGGUCAGCGGACCGAUUCUGCCCAUAGGUCGCCAGGAGUGCCUGGGCCUC